rnacentral:rRNA from 1 species
AUUGAACGCUAGCGGGAUGCUUUACACAUGCAAGUCGAACGGCAGCGCGGACUUCGGUCUGGCGGCGAGUGGCGAACGGGUGAGUAAUGUAUCGGAACGUGCCCAGUAGCGGGGGAUAACUACGCGAAAGCGUAGCUAAUACCGCAUACGCCCUACGGGGGAAAGCAGGGGAUCGUAAGACCUUGCACUAUUGGAGCGGCCGACAUCGGAGUAGCUAGUUGGUGGGGUAACGGCUCACCAAGGCGACGAUCCGUAGCUGGUGUGAGAGGACGACCGGCCGCCCUAGAGCGGAGACACGGCCCAGACUCCUACGGGAGGCAGUAGUGGGGAAUUUUGGACAACGGGGGCGACCCUGAUCCAGCCAUCCCGCGUGUGCGAUGAAGGCCUUCGGGUUGUAAAGCACUUUUGGCAGGAAAGAAACGUCGCGGGCUAAUACCCCGUGGAACUGACGGUACCUGCAGAAUAAGCACCGGCUAACUACGUG